ACGGAAGGCAGCAGUGGGGGAUAUUGCACAAUGGGGGAAACCCUGAUGCAGCGACGCCGCGUGAGUGAAGAAGUAUUUCGGUAUGUAAAGCUCUAUCAGCAGGGAAGAAUAGAUGACGGUACCUGACUAAGAAGCCCCGGCUAACUACGUGCCAGCAGCCGCGGUAAUACGUAGGGGGCAAGCGUUAUCCGGAUUUACUGGGUGUAAAGGGAGCGCAGACGGUCUUGCAAGUCAGAAGUGAAAUCCCCGGGCCCAACCCGGGAACUGCUUUUGAAACUGUAGGACUUGAGUGUCGGAGAGGUAAGCGGAAUUCCUAGUGUAGCGGUGAAAUGCGUAGAUAUUAGGAGGAACACCAGUGGCGAAGGCGGCUUACUGGACGAUAACUGACGUUGAGGCUCGAAAGCGUGGGGAGCAAACAGGAUUAGAUACCCUGGUA
rnacentral:rRNA from 1 species